CUUACACCUUUUUACAACGCAACAUUUAAAUCAUUCCGGUCACUGACAGUGACUUCAUUCAGUAGUGGAUCAAUUAUCAGUGACAUAAGGAUUGAGUUUGCAUCUUCAGGUGUGCCGAAUACAACUGCUAUUGCAAAUGUUUUGAUCAAUUCAGCCUCAAAUAUAACAGCCUUCAACAUUACCACAAACUCUGUGGUUGUCCGUGAAAUAGUAGCUUCAACUACAACUGUGAGCGCUACAACACCAAUGAUGACUGCAGUUACAAAUGCAAUCACAGCAAAUGUUACAAACACCACACCUAUUACAAAUACAUCUGCGGUGCCUA